rnacentral:rRNA from 1 species
AUUGAACGCUGGCGGCAUGCCUUACACAUGCAAGUCGAACGGUAACGGGCCUUCGGGUGCCGACGAGUGGCGAACGGGUGAGUAAUGUAUCGGAACGUACCUUUCAGUGGGGGAUAACGUACUGAAAGUUACGCUAAUACUGCAAAUUCUGUCCGCCGGAAAGCAGGGGAUCGCAAGACCUUGCGCUGUUUGAGCGGCCGAUAUCAGAUUAGCUAGUUGGUGAGGUAAAGGCUCACCAAGGCGACGAUCUGCAGCGGGUCUGAGAGGAUGAUCCGCCACACUGGAACUGAGACACGGUCCAGACUCCUACGGGAGGCAGCAGUGGGGAAUUUUGGACAAUGGAGGCAACCCUGAUCCAGCCAUGCCGCGUGAGUGAAGAAGGCCUUCGGGUUGUAAAGCUCUUUCGGCCGGGAAGAAAUCGUAUCAGCUAAUACCUGGUGCGGAUGACGGUACCGGCAUAAGAAGCACCGGCUAACUACGUGCCAGCAGCCGCAGUAACAC